rnacentral:rRNA from 1 species
AUGAAUGCGAGUCUGAAAAAAGGAUCCUCUUUCACGUGGCAAAGCAUUAUGGCCGGAGUGGAUUCUCUCAAAAAAGGUUAUAUUUGGAGAGUUGGUAAUGGACAGAAUAUUGAUAUCUGGAGAGAUGCAUGGAUCCCGAAUGGGGAAAAUAGGAAAAUUAUCACUCCUAGAAGAGGGCAGCUUCUAACAAAAGUUGUUGAUCUUAUAGAUCCAAUCAACAAUUGCUGGGAUGAAGAUUUGGUAAGACAAAUGUUGUGGCCAAUUGAUGUCCAGAGAGUGCUUACGAUCCCCCUCCCCACGUAUGACAUGUCGGAUUUCGUAGCUUGGAGCUUUACAAAGAAUGGACUGUUCACGGUUCGUUCUGCUUAUCUGGAGGAAUGGAAAGCCCAACAUGGGAGGAAAUUGCAACACUCAGAUGGCAUUGGAGGAAUAAAUGUCAAUACUAUUUGGAGCAAGAUUUGGAAAUUAUCUUGUCCAGCAAAAGUGAAGAUCUUUAUUUGGCGUACCUUACAUGGAACCCUCCCGUGUCGUGCUACACUUGCUAAUAGACAUAUGAAAGUCUCUCCCACCUACCCAUCAUGUUCGAACGGGCAUGAAGAUACUAAACACUUAUUAUUUUUAUGUCAAAAGGCAAAAGAGGUGUGGGAGAAACUGGGAUUGCACAAAGCCAUUAAAAAAGCCUGUGCGGUCGAUCGUGCGGGAGAGGCAGUACUUGAAUUUCUAAUUUUUAUGCCAGAACAUGAGCUAUCUACAUUGGGCACACAGAAUGUUCGCGAACUGAUCGCUAUAACAGCCUGGUAUUUAUGA